rnacentral:rRNA from 1 species
CCUAACACAUGCAAGUCGGACGGGGGCUCCGGCCCCAGUGGCGGACGGGUGAGUAACGCAUGGGAACCUGCCCCGUAGUGGGGGACAACGUGGGGAAACCCACGCUAAUACCGCAUACGCCCCGAGGGGGAAAGCGGGGGACCUUAGGGCCUCGCGCUAUGGGAUGGGCCCAUGCCGGAUUAGCUGGUUGGCGGGGUAAAGGCCCACCAAGGCGACGAUCCGUAGCCGGCCUGAGAGGGUGGCCGGCCACACCGGGACUGAGACACGGCCCGGACUCCUACGGGAGGCAGCAGUGGGGAAUAUUGGGCAAUGGGCGCAAGCCUGACCCAGCAAUGCCGCGUGUGUGAAGAAGGCCCGAGGGUUGUAAAGCACUUUCAGCGGGGAGGAAAGGGCCCGGGCGAACACCCCGGGUGUUGACAUUACCCGCAGAAGAAGCGCCGGCUAACUCCGUGCCAGCAGCCGCGGUAAUACGGAGGGCGCGAGCGUUAAUCGGAUUUACUGGGCGUAAAGCGUGCGUAGGCGGCGCGCCAAGUCAGACGUGAAAGCCCCGGGCUCAACCUGGGAACGGCGCUUGAUACUGGCGUGCUCGAGUUUGGUAGAGGGGGGCGGAAUUCCGGGUGUAGCGGUGAAAUGCGUAGAGAUCCGGAGGAACACCAGUGGCGAAGGCGGCCCCCUGGGCCAGAACUGACGCUGAGGCACGAAAGCGUGGGUAGCAAACAGGAUUAGAUACCCUGGUAGUCCACGCCGUAAACGAUGCCGACUAGCCGUUGGCCUUACUCGUAAGGUUAGUGGCGCAGCCAACGCAUUAAGUCGGCCGCCUGGGGAGUACGGCCGCAAGGCUAAAACUCAAAUGAAUUGACGGGGGCCCGCACAAGCGGUGGAGCAUGUGGUUUAAUUCGAUGCAACGCGAAGAACCUUACCUGCCCUUGACAUCCAGCGGACCCUGCGGAGACGCGGGGGUGCCUUCGGGAGCGCUGAGACAGGUGCUGCAUGGCUGUCGUCAGCUCGUGUCGUGAGAUGUUGGGUUAAGUCCCGUAACGAGCGCAACCCUUGCCCUUAGUUGCCAGCGGUUCGGCCGGGGACUCUAAGGGGACCGCCGGCGAUAAGCCGGAGGAAGGCGGGGACGACGUCAAGUCAUCAUGGCCCUUAUGGGCAGGGCUACACACGUGCUACAAUGGCCGGUACAGAGGGCUGCGGACCUGCGAAGGCGAGCCAACCCCACAAAGCCGGUCCUAGUCCGGAUCGGGGUCUGCAACUCGACCCCGUGAAGUCGGAAUCGCUAGUAAUCGCGGAUCAGAAUGCCGCGGUGAAUACGUUCCCGGGCCUUGUACACAC